UUCCUGAUGUUGAGUCAGAAUCUCCUUUCUUGUAACUUUAAUCCAUUGGUUCAAGUCCUGCCCUGCAGAGCAGGAGAAAACAAGCAUACUCCCUCUUCCCAUGUCAUAGCCCUUAAGAUAUUUGACGGUAGCUAUCAUAUCUCCUCUCAGUCUCUUCUUUUACAGGCUAAACAUACCCAGCUCCUUCAAGCGUUCUUCAAGGCAGGUGUUGAGGGGCUGA
rnacentral:sRNA from 1 species